GGUUAAGCGACUAAGCGUACACGGUGGAUGCCCUGGCAGUCAGAGGCGAUGAAGGACGUGCUAAUCUGCGAUAAGCGUCGGUGAGGUGAUAUGAACCGUUAUAACCGGCGAUUUCCGAAUGGGGAAACCCAGUGUGAUUCGUCACACUAUCAUUAACUGAAUCCAUAGGUUAAUGAGGCGAACCGGGGGAACUGAAACAUCUAAGUACCCCGAGGAAAAGAAAUCAACCGAGAUUCCCCCAGUAGCGGCGAGCGAACGGGGAGGAGCCCAGAGCCUGAAUCAGUGUGUGUGUUAGUGGAAGCGUCUGGAAAGGCGCGCGAUACAGGGUGACAGCCCCGUACACAAAAAUGCACAUAUUGUGAGCUCGAUGAGUA
rnacentral:rRNA from 1 species